rnacentral:rRNA from 1 species
AACGACGCUGGCGGCAUGCCUAACACAUGCAAGUCGAACGAAGCCUUCGGGCUUAGUGGCGCGACGGGUGCGUAACACGUGGGAAUCUGCCCUUUGGUUCGGAAUAACAGUUAGAAAUGACUGCUAAUACCGGAUAAUGACGUAAGUCCAAAGAUUUAUCGCCGAAGGAUGAGCCCGCGUAGGAUUAGGUAGUUGGUGGGGUAAUGGCCCACCAAGCCGACGAUCCUUAGCUGGUCUGAGAGGAUGAUCAGCCACACUGGGACUGAGACACGGCCCAGACUCCUACGGGAGGCAGCAGUGGGGAAUAUUGGACAAUGGGCGAAAGCCUGAUCCAGCAAUGCCGCGUGAGUGAUGAAGGCCUUAGGGUUGUAAAGCUCUUUUACCAGGGAUGAUAAUGACAGUACCUGGAGAAUAAGCUCCGGCUAACUCCGUG